rnacentral:rRNA from 1 species
UACGUAGGGGGCAAGCGUUAUCCGGAUUUACUGGGUGUAAAGGGAGCGCAGACGGCAGCGUAAGUCUGAAGUGAAAGCCCGCGGCUUAACCGCGGGACUGCUUUGGAAACUACGCGGCUUGAGUGUCGGAGGGGCAGGCGGAAUUCCUGGUGUAGCGGUGAAAUGCGUAGAUAUCAGGAAGAACACCGGUGGCGAAGGCGGCCUGCUGGACGACAACUGACGUUGAGGCUCGAAGGCGUGGGGAGCGAACAGG